GGUGUCCUCUGUGUUGUACCCUCUGUCCAUCCGAUCAGCCUCUGUUGGUGGCUCCAUGUUCUGCUCCAGUUUCUCCUUGUGUCUCCUGUGUGCCUUCUGUCUACCCCAGAGCCUGCCAAAUCCCAGAUGUCUUUCUUGGGAACCCGGCUGGCCUACAAGGUGCCUCCCACAAGAAAGCAAUAUCCCCGACCCCGUCCUUGCUCCCUGAAGUCUGGCUCCCUGUUCUACUGUUCCUCAACGCUGCCUGGGGCGGCUUCUUCACUGCUGUUCGGCACCUCCAGUACCAUGCCAGCCCAGAGCCCCAGCUCCAAUGUCGGCGGCCCACCCGACACCUGCCAGGUUUCCUCUGCUGAUGGCUGACACCUGUUCUGGCUCCUCCUCCGACAUCUGCUAGUGGUUUCCAGUCGACGGCCCCACCAGUGUCUGUGGCCCUCCUAAUCCCUGCCAGUGUUUCUACGUCGGUGGUCCAGCCGACACAUGGCAGUGGCUCCCAGUCGGCGGCCCAACCAGCACUGGUUCCUAUUCCUCGGUCGGAGGCCUGGCAAAGUCCUGUCCCAUCCCCUCAGUCGGAGGACGGCCGAGUCUGGUUCCUGCCAGUGAUGCUGUCGGCUCGAGGCCAACAGCUGGCAGCGACCUUCCAGCCGUCGCCCUCCUGAGGGUCUCUGCUUUUGCCACCGAAGGUCUCCUCUGUGCAUUUCCCUCACCUCACCUGUUCCUCGUCUUGUCAUUAGUGUCUGCAUAUAGUCUUCGUCCUUCCUCAUGUCUUUGAGUUUGUUUUGUGAUGUCCUUAGUGUGAGAUACCAUUAAAAUAAAGUCUCCCCCCUCCGCACCAAAAACUGAAGCUUAUACCAUGCGGUGGGUCA